AUAGCGUAUAUUAAAGUUGUUGCAGUUAAAAAGCUCGUAGUUGAACCUUGGGCCUGGCUGGCCGGUCCGCCUCACCGCGUGCACUGGUCCGGCCGGGCCUUUCCUCCUGGGGGCCCGCAUGCCCUUCACUGGGUGUGCCGGGGAACCAGGACUUUUACUUUGAAAAAAUUAGAGUGUUCAAAGCAGGCCUAUGCUCGAAUACAUUAGCAUGGAAUAAUAAAAUAGGACGUGUGGUUCUAUUUUGUUGGUUUCUAGAGCCGCCGUAAUGAUUAAUAGGGAUAGUCGGGGGCAUCAGUAUUCAAUUGUCAGAGGUGAAAUUCUUGGAUUUAUUGAAGACUAACUACUG
rnacentral:rRNA from 1 species